UACGUAGGGGGCGAGCGUUGUCCGGAUUUAUUGGGCGUAAAGAGCUCGUAGGCGGUUUGGCAAGUCGGGUGUGAAAACUCCGGCUCAACUCGGAGACGCCACUCGAUACUGCCAUGACUCGAGUCCGGUAGGGGAGUGCGGAAUUCCUGGUGUAGCGGUGAAAUGCGCAGAUAUCAGGAGGAACACCGGUGGCGAAGGCGGCACUCUGGGCCGGUACUGACGCUGAGGCGCGAAAGCGUGGGGAGCGAACAGG
rnacentral:rRNA from 1 species